rnacentral:rRNA from 1 species
CCUACGGGGGGCAGCAGUGGGGAAUAUUGGACAAUGGGCGAAAGCCUGAUCCAGCAAUGCCGCGUGAGGGAUGAAGGCCUUAGGGUUGUAAAGCUCUUUUACCAGGGAUGAUAAUGACAGUACCUGGAGAAUAAGCUCCGGCUAACUCCGUGCCAGCAGCCGCGGUAAUACGGCGGCAGCUAGCGUUGUUCGGAAUUACUGGGCGUAAAGCGCACGUAGGCGGUUUUUCAAGUCAGGGGUGAAAGCCCGGAGCUCAACGCCGAAAUUGCCCCUGAAACUGGAUGACUAGAAUCUUGGAGAGGUCAGUGGAAUUCCGAGUGUAGAGGUGAAAGUCGUAGAUAUUCGGAAGAACACCAGUGGCGAAGGCGACUGACUGGACAAGUAUUGACGCUGAGGUGCGAAAGCGUGGGGAGCAAACAGGAUUAGAUACCCUUGUAGUC